rnacentral:lncRNA from 1 species
UUCCAUGAAGAGCUUGCUUUGAAGGCAGACUUUCACUGCCAGGUCUCCAGGGAGACUCAUUUUUUCCAGCUCUCACUUUUGCUAUCUCUGACUCAUCUCUCAAAGUUUAAGGGAAAACAUUCUUAUGGGGGGAACAUGUGGGGGUCAAGAUGAAAGUUUUUGAGUGUCUCCAAAUGUCCCUAUGAUCAGAGCUUCACAGAAGUUUGCUCAAGUUCCAGUGUGAUGACCCCAGCUCCAGACUCAUCCAGCAGACGGGAGAAUGGGUGAGACACACAGAGGCAGUGGUCCCCGAAGUCAAGAAGCCCUGUCAUUCUUGGGAGGAAGUAAUGAUUUACUCUUGAGAGAGGAGGUAGGAAUAAAGUUCUAGACACUGUCGGGAGGGGGAUCAGGAGUGAGAAGAUGAGGGGAAGGUUAUCCAGACGCUAAAGAAUAAGGAGAAGAUACCAAACAAGCUUGAGUGGCCUUCCUAAGCCCCUGCAAAAAUAACCUCCAAUGACAGAAACAAACCGGCUAAUGAUGAAAACAAAUCCCAUCCAGAAGAACGGGCUUUGACUGGCUUUGCCUCUUGGAUGAAAGCAUUUGGGGGAAACAAGUUGACCCUGAUUCUGCAGCGAUAAAAUAUGGCAGUAUCUUUGACUUACUGUUGCAACUGUUUAUUCUAAUCUUUCAAAUUCUUUUCAGUUUCCUAUUAACACCUCAGGAUUAAGUUCAUCAAAGCAUGGGUGGGUGCAGAUAGCAGCAGCCAGUUUUUGUCUGGUUUGUUUAAUAUGACCCACACUUCUAACCAGUGGACUCUGCUUCAUACCACUGAGCAGUAAAUUCUCGGGAUCUUGAUUCAGUCUGUCAGUGGCCUCAGCUGACAAUGAUUUCUUCACCAAAGUGCAGGGAGAGAAUUAACGCCAUCUCUGACAAGUGAGCUUGGCAGAAGACUGGCCGUAUGCCUCGGCGCUGACAGUGCAGACGGUCUACGCCUGCGGAGGCCCCAUCACCAGGGUUCACGCAGCUUUGGCAUUGCAUAAAUUAUAUAGAAGAAAAAUAAAUGGCUUCUCCUUUGGGGGGGCUGAGAUGUUCUGAUUUUUUUUUUUUAAACAUUUUACUGUUCUAUAAACAGUCUCCCAUGGCCCGGUUUUAAUUACAAGUAUGCAUCUUUAUUUUUUUCUUUUCCCAAACCUGGGCAGUAAAGGAUUGCACAUUUAAAAGAAACCACAUACAGAAAGAAACCACAUUCUUGGAAUGGAACACCCUGAAACAGCAUCUACAUGUUUCCUGGACUGACGUUGAUGGCUUCCAUAUAUGCAGGUUUAGAAUUACUCUCAGCAGUUGGGGCAGCUUUGAGGGAGCUGGGAGAAGCGCCCAUCCUUCUUCUACUUUCUUGGACUUCUGGUCUAUUUCC